CCGAGUCCUCGGUUUCGCCGUUUUCGCUACAGCGUUUCGAUGUCACAGGAUCGGGCGGGGCCGCUGGCGGUUAGAGCCGCCUGAGGUCCCCCCGGGAGCACCGUGUGGCCCCUCGUGGAGGACACCCGUGAUGGGACCAGGGCCUACCCUCCUCCUCCCGCAUAAUCUCAUCUUAACCCGAUCACCUCUGCAAAGACCCUAUUUCCAGACACGGUCACAUUCACAGGGAGAUGGCCCGGCCGCGACUCCUGCCCCCGGGGAUGGUGACAGGAGCCAGGAGAGCCAGGGUUCAGGCUGGUGACAGCCAGGGGUGACAGGCUUCGGCUCUACCGACCGCGUGACUCCGGGCUGUCCCUGCCAGCUGCCCAUGAGCACCCUUAAGACAGAUGCCCGUCCUGGGCGCCUGGGCGGCUCCGUCGAUUAAGCGUCCGACUUCAGCUC